rnacentral:lncRNA from 1 species
AAAUCUUGACUUUUAUCUUAUUAUGCAUGAUGAUGAUUAUGCAAUGAUACAAUGAAUGAAUUACUAUGAUUAAAAUGGAUUAGAAUGCAUUAUGUUGCUUUGUCUUUUAUGCAAGUUAGAAACUUGAUGGAAAAUCCACAUGAAUGCACAUGUCCAUGACCAUUCUUAUUAAAAGAAAUAAUCAUUUAUUUUGUAAUAAAACGCAUGUAAUUAAAAUGUAGAAACAAAAUAUGCUAUUUAAAAUAAACAUGAAUAAAUCAAAAUAUGAAAAAUAAAAAUGAAAAAAAUAUUUAAAAUGAUCAGAUGAAUUAAAAAAUCAAGGGACAAAAUUGGUGUGUGACAACUACAACAUUCC